GACGAACGCUGGCGGCGUGCCUAAUACAUGCAAGUUGAGCGCUGAAGGUUGGUACCUGUACCAACUGGAUGAGCAGCGAACGGGUGAGUAACGCGUGGGGAAUCUGCCUUUGAGCGGGGGACAACAUUUGGAAACGAAUGCUAAUACCGCAUAAAAACUUUAAACACAAGUUUUAAGUUUGAAAGAUGCAAUUGCAUCACUCAAAGAUGAUCCCGCGUUGUAUUAGCUAGUUGGUGAGGUAAAGGCUCACCAAGGCGAUGAUACAUAGCCGACCUGAGAGGGUGAUCGGCCACAUUGGGACUGAGACACGGCCCAAACUCCUACGGGAGGCAGCAAUAGGGAAUCUUCGGCAAUGGACGAAAGUCUGACCGAGCAACGCCGCGUGAGUGAAGAAGGUUUUCGGAUCGUAAAACUCUGUUGGUAGAGAAGAACGUUGGUGAGAGUGGAAAGCUCAUCAAGUGACGGUAACUACCCAGAAAGGGACGGCUAACUACGUG
rnacentral:rRNA from 1 species